UCAGUGUCACUAAAGUCAAAAUCAAAGGCUUGCUAAUAAUCUACCUGCAAUCCCUGUAAGUGAGCACUUAUACAGCUAAUACGGAAUGUUCAUUUAGAUUGGAAGGAUUAGUCAAACACCAUCUGUUCAAUCAAUUGGCUGCUCUGUGAUUGAUACCACUGGUCUACAUUGAACUGUGUCAUGGUAUGUCUAAUCCUGUCCAUGGAGGACAGAUUGUAAAACCCAGUUAAUUGUAUGAUGCUUUUUGGCAGCCUGCUAUAUGGAGUUGAGGUACAGUAUCUUCUGGCUCUUCAGAGAUUCUGCAAUCAGAAAAAAGUCUUUUUUUCCUUUUUGAUCAAGGAAUACAGGGGAGAGUUAAUCCUUUAACCAGAGCAAAGAAUUAAUACUUUGUGGAUUAAAAAAAGGAACUGCUACACAGAGAACAGACCAUCCUGUUUGCCUUCCCGGCUAUCAAGAGUGAAGGCGAGAUCUAACCAUCUUGUAGAGAUGCUAUGCAGAUACUUGCCUCAGUUUUACAAGGAGAAAUUAAUCUUACUUUUCUUCCAUGUCCUUCAGCAUCUGGGAUUGAGGAGUCUUUUUUAAAAAUCACUAUCAUUUUUCAAAGAAAACUGAGUGUGGGACUGGAAUCAGGAACAUGCCCUUCUAUGACCUAUCAGGGUGGAGACGAUAUUUACUUUCCUUUAGGACGCAAAGCACGAAUACAGAAAAUGAAAAUGAAGGCACUUCUAAGAACAUUCUGCUGCUUAUCAAGAUUCUCCAUUUCCUCUCCAACCUUCUUCCCAGCUUCCCUUUCAUCUCUAGGUCAUUCUUGCAGCCUGUACCUCACCACCCACUCCUCCCAACUCUACCAGCUGCCCCUUUCUCUAAAUUCUUACCCUUCCAAACAGGGACUCAGCUCUGGAGGGAAGCGGCAGCAUUGGCUCCGCUUGACACCUUACUAGGAGGCCUCUUGGCAGAGCUGGCCUUACGCAACUGCAUCUCCUCGGAGCCCCUAAGAUGCUCUAAAUGUAAAGAAGCAACAUUCAUGAAACAGGGGACUUCCCCAAAGCAACCCAAUGAUGUGAGUACCAUUUCUACAGGAAGAGAGAGUAAUGCCUCUGGGGAAAGUAGGAGCAGCUCAUCUCCAUCUGAUUCUCCUCUUAACAAGGAGAUUGAGUGUCUCCACUUCUUUCUAAAAAGGAAAAUCACUAGGACACAAGCCUGGCUGAUUGAUUUAUUAUUGUCAUUGUUUAUUAGCAGCGUGUGUACUGAAGUUGUUGGGAAAGCUAACAAUGAUGGUAAAACAUAGCUAUAAACACAAACAUAUAAAGCAGAGAGUAAAAUGAA
rnacentral:lncRNA from 1 species